AAGGAGUAAGUUAUCUCAGAGAAGACGAAGGAAAGGGCAGAAAAGGGAGGUAAGGAAGGAACAGUGCGUGACUACUACUGCCAUCUUUCAUCCGGAGAUGUCCAUGUCACUUGAAUAAUCGCAUAUCUGUACAGAUGCGACAAAAACUUGAAGAGCAACAUGCAUCAGAGAGAAAACAAAAUUUCACUCAUGCAGUGCUCUCAUCAGAGAUUAGUUGACUUGAGGUACUAAUUUAGAUGUAAAUUUAGAGGUUACUUUAUGUAUUUUUCAUUAUAACAAAUGUUGGUGAUUCUUUAAAAAAAAAUCAGGAUAUAGAAUUAAAAGCAAGAUAUUUCUGAAUUUGUGAGCAAUUUUAGUAUUUUUUUAAUUUUGUGAGCAAUUUUAGUAUUUUUCUAGCGCGUCUUGUGAGAAUUAAUAUGGAGGCUUCAUUGAAAAUCUCCAAUUAUUAAUAAUUUUUAAAAGAUGGUGAUGAUUUGAGCCUACUAAAUUGAUGGCUGAUUUUUUUCUCUUUAGGGAUUCUUUUAAUACGCCUCUUGAGGAUUAAUGUAUAGUCUUGUCUAAGCCUCCACUCACUGGUUUUAUUUGCUUGCCCACAUGGAUUGAGAUGUUUUCCUUUUUUUUUUUGCGACUUACAUAGUACAUUCGCCCUGAUGUACACUUCUUUUAGGCGAAUAGGCCCGACCAUAUGCAAAGUGCACACCGUACUGUCCGCUCAUCACCUCACUGGGCUUUAGUUCAGCUAGUAAUACACCUUCCAUGCAUUUCAGCACCAUGCAUCGCGAAGAACCUACACAAGCUACUGGCUUUAUCAUGUCCUUAUAGCUUGGAUUGGAUACACUCACAAUGCCACGACAUGAUGAUUGUGCAACACAAAUGACGAAUCAAAUCCUGUCCCUCAUCUGCCUCCACCAACCUUUGCUUCGCUCUCUGUUGUCCUUGGUGAACACAACUGAUGGACGGGUGGAUCGUCUGUUCGUCUCCUUUGCAUCUCUGCCUUGCCGCUUUCCGGUUCCGCUGUUUGAGCUCAGGAACACGAGCGCAUUUUUGCUGCAACUUUAUUCAACUUUGUGGCGAGUCCUAAAUAAAAACUUUGUGCUAAAGGAUGUCGAUCGCCCACAUUGUCGUCAUGGACGCCUUGAUUGCUCGAUCGCUCAAGAAGGUAGGCGCCAAAGGUAGCUAGACAGGUAAUAUUCAGAUCCGUGGUCAGAGAUUCAUCUUUGUCUUGGAUCUUUAUGCUCAAUCAGACGCCCACUCAUACUCCAGCUUUCAUGGUGCUCUCCCUUUUGUCUAAACUAACUCCAUGCACUCUCACUGGCACAGAGACAGCUAGGCAGGAACUGAAAGGAAAUAAAAUUCCAAGGUUUUGCAUGUGCCAUUAGCAUCCUUGGAUUGGAUGCAUAUGCAUUCUGAAUUCUGAACAGCAUUCGCAUCGCAUCCUCUAGUUUGCUGAACAAGUCUUCAGUUACAACAGCCUCUGAGCUAACCUAGGUCUAAUGUCCAAAAAAAUUGUAAAA
rnacentral:lncRNA from 1 species